rnacentral:rRNA from 1 species
AGCGAACGCUGGCGGCAGGCCUAACACAUGCAAGUCGAGCGCCCCGCAAGGGGAGCGGCAGACGGGAGAGUAACACGUGGGAACGUGCCCUUUGGUUCGGGACAACCCAGGGAAACUUGGGCUAAUACCGGAUAAGCCCUAACGGGGAAAGAUUUAUCGCCGAAGGAUCGGCCCGCGUCUGAUUAGCUAGUUGGUGGGGUAAUGGCCCACCAAGGCGACGAUCAGUAGCUGGUCUGAGAGGAUGAUCAGCCUCACUGGGACUGAGACACGGCCCAGACUCCUACGGGAGGCAGCAGUGGGGAAUAUUGGACAAUGGGCGCAAGCCUGAUCCGGCCAUGCCGCGUGGGUGAUGAAGGCCCUAGGGUUGUAAAGCCCUUUCGGCGGGGAAGAUAAUGACGGUACCCGCAGAAGAAGCCCCGGCUAACUUCGUGCCAGCCGCCGCCGUAACAC